AUAACCUUCUAAAGGCCACAUCCUGUGGCAGUAUCAUCUCUCAUUUCUCCUUUUCUGCCACCCCUGAACAGAACAUCCUUUCUUUUGUUGUAGUGUUUUACAAAUGAAAGGUUCCUUCCUCCUAGCCAAACCUUAUGCUGAUAAAGGUCAAGUUAAGCUGCUCUGAAACCUGGGUAUCAGCACAGCUCUUCAAGAUGCAGAUAAGAACAAAGUUCCUUUGCAGAAGCAGGCGAUUGAAAUAUAAGGAGUUUGGAAAACUGCAACACAAAGACAUUUCUCCUCUAGACAAAAAGACAAGCAGAUCCAUCCAGAGUUCUGAGGCUUUAGACAUAAAGGUUACAGCGUAUGAAGAGAGUAGUGGUGAAGAUCCACAAAAAAACAAGUGAAGUAGCAAAACUAAUCCUGGCUCACAAGAACACUGAGCCUGACCCUCAAAACAAACCCAAGAGAUCAAGUCUACCAGGAGAAGACCUGAAUUUGUGAGCAGUUUGUGUAUUUUCUGCUCUUUGAUUCAUUCUGGGCACAGAUGUUACCACCUGGUUUCAUCACUGCUUUUUCCUCCCCCAGAUUAGAGCAAUCAAUGAGAUCAGCUACCUUUAGCAGAAGGGUGACAAGCACCAUGGUGUUUGGCUGCCUUCUGUAUGUAACUGUAAUAGUUAAUUCAGGCUGCUCAGCCUUCUACAGUCUCCUACAGGGCUUUCUUAAAUACCCUGUAGAGAAACUGUGGUUUGUAUGACAGGUCAGGUGGGGCCAGCUUCCUGCUUCUGAUCUCCCACACUAAUUGAUGUCAGCAGGCCUGCCAGUAGCGGCUGCUUACACAUGGCACUCUACAGAGACACGGCAGGGAGCUUCCACCCAAGUUAGCAGCAGCUCAGACAGACUGACUGCAUCAGUUAUAUUCAGAUCGUGUUGUCAAGCUUUCAAGUGUUUGGAGGGAAACAUCAUCACACAGGAGUAUGCUGUGUACCUGAGAGGGAAGAAGAUUAACAAAAAGCAAGGAAGGGAAUACAACCAAGAGAAGGCAUGUUUUCCAUAUUUAGGCAAAGAUAAUAUGGAAGAGAUUUGUUUAAAGGAAGCUGUUUGAUUCUGUCUAUUUGAAUUGUUACCUGUCUAUCAAUCCUCUUCACAACUGAAGGAAAAUCUGACUUUCAAUUGUUUAAUCUUCUCUACACAGUUACCUGCAAUUCUGUUUUUCAGUAGAGGUCUCACAAACCCAAACCCAGUAUUAAGUACAUUCUUACUCAAACAGAAAUGUUAAAGCACUGUGCUUAAAGUACCUACAGCAAAAAAACCUCUCUAAACCUGCCGCACCUGAGCAUACCUUUCUGCCCCAGGAACAAAGUCUUCUCAGAACAAUUAGCUUUUCUUCUUUAUUGCCAGUACGAUACAGCUGAAGCUGAUGAAAAUCUUUGAGCAUGUUUUACUUGAGCGUAUAAUACAGGCACUCAACAGAAGGCUGUAAUGAAAUGGCUGCUAGACAGAUUAGUACAAAAUCAAUGAGUGACACUCAUAAGAUCACUGAGUUUUCACUGGUUUUACUGUUGCUCGAUAGCGUUUGUCAAACCCUGCACAAGUCCCUCCUGCCAUCAUACUAUGAACUUGUGCCCUUCCCGUAACAAAGGAAGCAACGAUCGACAGAUGCUGUCAAACCUCUUGAUACCUUCAGCACCACUUCUUUAGCGCUAGUUUCCGGACAAAAUCCACAAACAGCCUGUGCCCCUUGGCCUGACUCUUGCCUUCUAGUCUUUCCCAAAUGGAUCCUUUGAAAGGAGGUAGCUAAGACAUGUGAGUGACAAGCAUAUCUCAGCCUCUUCUGGGAUGGAGUACAGACACACCCACUCGUAAUUACUUAAGACCAGGAGUGAAAAAAAACGCAGUGAAACUACCCACUUUGAGGAGCACAUGCAGGAGAGUGAGCUGGUUACUGAUGAGCCUUCCUCAGCCGCACGUUUCCGAGGGCCAAGUCUCCACUCUCCCUAAGGCCACAUAAGACUGAACUAUUGCAGUCCUCACGGCAAGGACAAACCCCAUGGCUUCUCUGACCAGAUUCAAAACAUAAAACUCCUCGUCCCUUCUGUGCUACUUCUGGCUCUGUCUACAGCAAGCUGCUAUUGAUGACGUGUAGCAGUCACACCAUGCCUCCAUGCUGAUGUAUUUCAGAGGACUGAAAACGUUAAAAGAGACCUUGGAAGGGGACAGCUGUAUAUAAAAGUUAACUCU